UCGUUUUACUACUCAUUCAUCUUUGCAAUUCUUUUUAUAUUAAAAGUUUCAUACCAAACUAUUUUAAGCACAAAAAUGAGCUUUCGAGGUGGUUUUUCUAGAGGUCGUGGUAAUUAUGGUCGAGGUGGUUUCUCUAGUAGAGGGAGAGGAUCCAAGGGAUUAGAGCAAGGGUCUCCAGAUUCUGUAGUAGUGAUCGGAAGUUUUCUGCAACCCUGUGAAGCUGACAUCGUUUGCAAAUCCCUUAACGAAAAAAUACCAUUUUUUAAUGCGCCCAUUUACCUUGAAAACAAAGUUCAAAUAGGUAAAGUGGAUGAGAUAUUUGGGCCAAUUAAUGAAGUGUACUUUUCCGUUAAGCCCGCAGAAGGCAUUAUCGCAGCCUCGUUUAAGGCGGAUCAAAAGUUUUAUAUUGCUUCCGACAAACUUCUGCCUUUGUCUCGCUUCUUACCUAAACCAGCCGCUCUAAAAAAGGUAGGCGCUGUUAAAAAAAAAUCCAGUCGUCCUUUAAAUCGUGGUGGCGGCGGAGCGCGGAACUUUGGUCCCUUCAACACACGGGGGAAAUUUAGAGGCGCCGCAAGGGGAGCGCGUGGGGCAUUUCGUGGUCGCUCUAGAGGAUUUUCAAGAGGAUUUUAACUUUAUAUAUGUGGAACUAUUUAAUAGGCGUUGAAGGAAGGAAA